AUAACAGUUUUAUUUUGACAGCUGACUGAACGAUGCAUUCAUGUGUGAAGGUGAUGUGAGGUUAUUUCAAUUUUAAUAUAUUAUUUACAGCAAAGUAUAAUGAGUUUUUACACAAAGUAAUUGCAGUUAUGAAAUAUCGACACAAAGGUAUAAAUCUACACGAAAAAAUUGCUUGGAAAGACAUAACCUUAAUAUGAAUGAUAUAUAAAACCAUUGAGGACGACGAUGUAAAUUUCUCAACAUUCUAUCGAUCAUGCCCCACAGAUGUUCAAGCAGAGACAAAUUUGAGGAUCUUGAAGGCCAAUCAAAUGGAGAAUUGAGAUUGUUUUUGUGGAAUAGCGACAUUUUCAUAUAGGAUAAGGUAUAUUUUGGGUUUGGCGCUGAUAUAGGGAAGAUUUUUCUCUGCAGGUCUGGGAUUAUAGUGAUUUUUAGGAAGGAGCUAAUCUUCGUGUGGCAUCAGCUCCCUGCGUAUGCUUCACCUACAAUCGCGCAUGGAAUUGAUUUUUAAAUAACAAUAAUGUAGAAAAAAGAAAUGGGUCAACCAUCCAAACGGAUUUCCAAUAGUGUGUGUCGUUGGUUGUUAAGCUUGCAUAGUCAACGAUCUUAAUGAAAUAGGGCAUUUUUGAGGUACCAGAAACUUCUGAAUCCCUUGUAAUAUGUUUAGUAUUAGUCGGCUUAUGUAUCGGAAUUUCAAUACUGCAUUUUUUUAUUAAUUAAAGGUUAAACCUGUACAUAUAUUUUAGUUAACGUUAGAAAUGAAACCGGUUGUAUGGGAAUAAAAGGUUUAAAGGAAUAUAAACAGACUUUCGAUUAGAAAAAAUAAGCAAUAACUGAAAAAUUUUUACAAAUACUUAUCGAAAACAAGUUUUAUAAAAGCCUAAAGAGUCAGAGGGUUGUGGCAUACUGAAAGAUUAUGUAAAAAGGUCAUUGAA